CUGGCUUUUCGGCGAUUCUAAAGGGUAACAUCUCUUUAGCAAUGAAGCGAACUACACUGUCUUGAGGAAGAGGACGGG